GAACGUCAAAAUAUCAGCGAGCGACGCCGCCAUGACACUCUUUCUCUUUCAAAUUCAGCCAACGCAUCAAUUUUAUAUUUCUCUUAUAUCAAGUCUUUCAUUUUUCAUUUAAGGACAAAUAUCUCAAAACAAUAAAGACAGUCGACGGUCGAUUACCACAACCCAAAAAGUGGUAGCCGCGUGGUAGGAGAAGACCUAGUCGCCCUGUACAUACUUGGCGACGCACCGUGGAGAGUAAGAUGAGGACUACCGACGUGACCUGGAGUGAUGUCAAGGAGCAAGACAGGCCAGGCUCAAGUGGAGACGACUUGUGAGGGCCCUAUGUACCAGCGGUGUGCCCUAGGACUACAAUAACAAUAAUAUCCGAGAGCUUUCAUAUGUCUUAUAUUAUGUCCAGACCUCUAUUUUGUAGUACUUAUUUGUAUUCGGUAGCGUUUAUUAGUAAUUAAAGUUGAUUUACAAAAAAACGAAGUAUUUAAUAUUUUUCCACUUUGAGAGGUAUUCCACUUUGGUUACCUCGAAGUCAAUUAACAUUAGAAAACUGCUGCGUUGAAGUGGCUUGUGACAACCAGCCACCGGUAAAGGGAAGAAGGUUGUCUAUUCAUUUCUUUAGUCGAGAGGGAGGGAGGGGGGCGGUAUUUAGUUACAGUUUUUUUCUUCUUGCUAACCUAGAGAAUUAUGUCAGCGUAACCGGGCGAGUAGGUGAGCUCACGGGUUCUAACCUGAGAACAUUGCUAACACUGGCCCUAGCAAGAGCAGUGCUUCGCAGAAUCUACCACCGGAUCGGAAACGCGACCCACUGAGAAGAUCCGGCGAGAAACUCAUUGGGCUGUGUCUGUGGGUUAGUUCGCUCGUAGAACUCUUCGUCGUAAUCGACGAGUAUAUUGAUGGUUAUGGACAUCAGCAAUGCCAGUGGCGCUGUACUACUACUUGCGAAAAAAAUUUAAUGCGCGGCUACUUUCAAGUGAUUAAUAAAAAAUACUUUUGUAAAUUCGGAUUGUAGAUCGGAAGCGACGGGUUCGAAGAGAACAGUGAUUGGUGCUUGAGGUACCUAAAAGCACCGUUAGUGAUUCGAGAGAAUCCGAAAUAAUGUGUUUAGGGUGACGUCGACUGUUUACCAUUCGGUCCGCAGGAUGGCAAUGUAGUUACCAGCGGCCACGACAAGAGGGUUUUCAUGUCGCGCUGCUUUCUCGAAAUGGCGCACUGAUGUCGAAUGUAUAUGCUUACUGAUCAAGUUCAACUCCAAGACAUCGUAAAGAUCCACGUUCCUCACGAGCCAUGGUGCUUCGACGGCUAUCCUGCAAAAACGGGACUGAAUGUCUGGAAGAGACUAUAAAUUAGUGCGGCGAACACUAUACUUAUAUAGAUCAUGCCUGAAGGACGUAUGCAAGUUUUGUAGAGUCACCUUAUUACAAAGAGACAAUCUACAUUUUUUUUUAUUGCUUAGAUUGGUGGACGAGCUCACAGCCCUCCUGCUGUUAAGUGGUUACUUGAGCCCAUAGACAUCUACAACGUAAAGGCGCUACCCACCUUGAGAUAUAAGUUCCAGGGUCUCAGUAUAGUUACAACGGCUGCCACUUCCCUUCAAACCGACGCGUUACUGCGUCAUGGCAGAAAUAGGCAGGGUGGUGGUACCUAUCCGCGCGGACUCACAAGAGGUCCUAACACCAGUAAGUUACUUCGCUUAGUUUCAGAGUAUGCAAUAUGUGUAGAGCGAUACGGUUCACCAUUGACGAAGAUUCACUUAUAAGACAUCAUCCGGACAUCCAAUCAGCAGUAAUUGUCCAAGCACUAGGAACCUACAUUACUUAGCACCAGAUGGGAAAUAAGCUCGACUGCCCGCCUAUUUCUGCCGCGAUAUAAACUUAAAUACGUAAAGUAUUACAAACGCAAAGUAUUGAAAAUGUCCAACAUUUUUAAUACAAUUUUCGUGGUACGUAAAACGUACAAACCCUAAAACUAAUUAGGGAACGUACCCAUACUACGUGACCCGUUUAGGAGGGGGAGCGGAGUCUAACAUACUACGGUCAGUCACAGGAGCGGGGGGGUGGCUCAGGUUUUUGUCACGUAGUCGAUUUUAGUGAGAGAAAUCUCGUAUUUUUUCGACCUAUAUUCGAAUAUAGCGCGCAGUGUUUAGCGCUUUGUAAACUCACACUACAUAAUUCACUAGUAAUUUAAGUGUGCAUGCAGUCUUAUGCAAUAAAGACGAGUAUGAACCAA